rnacentral:rRNA from 1 species
GACAGAGGAUGCAAGCGUUGUCCGGAAUCAUUGGGCGUAAAGGGCGCGUAGGUGGCCUGGUCAGCGUGCGGUGAAAGCUCGGGGCUCAACCCCGAGUCGGCCGUGCGAACUGCUGGGCUGGAGCACUGUAGAGGCAGGCGGAAUUCCGGGUGUAGCGGUGGAAUGCGUAGAGAUCCGGAAGAACACCGGGUGGCGAAGGCGGCCUGCUGGGCAGUUGCUGCACUGAGGCGCGACAGCG